rnacentral:rRNA from 1 species
CCCUUUUGGGAUUACCCUCUAAGAAGACUGCCUCGGAUAACGGGGAGGAAGGUGGGAUGACGUCAAGUCCGCAUGCUCCUUACGUCUAGGGCUACACACGUCCUACAAUGGGGUCGACAAUGGGAUGCAAUAUCGCAAGAUGGAGCCAAUCCCCAAACGGCCUCUCAGUUCGGAUUGUAGUCUGCAACUCGACUACAUGAAGUUGGAAUCGCUAGUAAUGGCAGAUCAGCAUGCUGCCGUGAAUACGUUCCCGGGUCUU